GUUUUAAACAUGUACGUCUCACCUCACCACACUCACGCACAUGAGAGAGAGGUAUCCCUCCGCAUCACACCUCUAUCGGCAUCACCACCGCCACUGCCACCGCCACCGCCACCGCUGCCAUAUCUCCGGCAUCAACGAUGCUUAGUAGGUGAUGAAGGUUCCGUAGAUGAUUAAAGGCAGUCACGAUAGAGGGUUUUAAGGAGAGUAGGUCGAUGGCUUAGGAUGGUUAAAUGACUGAUGGUGGUGGAUAUGGUUCAACAGAUCGGCGUUGCUAGGGUUCCGACGAGAUUUUAGCACGAUUCUGGUGACCCGGUUCAGUUUGGAAGCAUAUGAAAAUGGAACAGGCUUGGAAGUGAUUUUUAGGAAUGGGAAUGAUCCUUGGAAGUCUGAAAGGCAUCGAUUUGGGGAACCGGAGGUAACGACUGUAGACCUAGCAAUGGUGGCUUUAUGUUAUGUGACCAAAUGUGCCGAAACGUUGGUCAAUUAACGGUUUUGAGCACGGAUCCUUGAUAUGCAGACAUUUUUUAUGCUCAGAUAUGAUUUCCGGCGGUUAAGGCGACUUUCCGGCGGGUAAAGGUUGUGGCUGCAGACCACAGUGACUGAUUGGUGGCGGUCCUCGAGUUAAGGGAGCUGCGAGAUGAGACGACUUCUGACCGUCGGUUCUUUGUUUUCUUUGUAAAAUUGAUACUAUCAACAAUUGGGUUUGGCUGAGAGAGAAGCAGAUGAAUGACAAUAAAAUGAAAGAAGAAAAGAAGUCAGGGUUGUGCCUCGAACGUUAAAAUAGAGUAAUUAUGUGUUGAGUUCAACAGGUAAGUUUCUCACAAAAUAGUUAAUUUUAAAUUGCACACUGUUGGUUAUGCAAUGUUUGUAUGUGCUUAUCUUUCGUUUAUAAAUAGAUUGUUUUUUCAAAUUUGAUUGUUUGGGUUGGACCGGUUUCGGCUUUGUUUGACUUGCUCCAAACCAGUUCGAUUGGGCCUAUAAACGGAUUUGUGCAUCGCUAUUAACAAAGCACAAGAUUUACACUCUAUGGUGGAGCACCAAUUCUGGCUAUAUGUCUCCUAUUACCUAGAGGUGUAUGAAAAUUAGUCUGGGCCCAAACCAGUUUGGGUGUAAACUGGCAUGUUUUUUAACAUAGAACUAUCAUACCUGGUCAAGCUUAAACAUGUAUUAGAUCUAACAACAUGAAAGGUUUAGUUCUACUUUUUUAUUUUGUUUUAGAAUAAGUAAUGCACCGGUCAAUUAAGUAUACUAAUAAUGUGACUCGUGUUUUUUAAAUACUUAAAUUCAUGUUCAUACAACCAAACCUGAGAAAAAAAAGUAGAAGCAUGAGGUCCUCACAAAUAUCUUUGAAGCUAACAAUUUGCUAAAGCUCAGGUACAUUUUCAGUUCUUUCUUUUUCUCACUUUUGUUAGUGGUAAAUUGGAUUUUAAAUAGUGUUCGACUUUAGAAAGUUAUAUCUCCAUUUCAAAAGUUUCAUUUUAAAAUGAUAAUAGUUGGUAGUUGAUGAUAAUCGAGGUGAUGAGGAGGUUGUUGUGGUAUGGGUUAUAAAGGUUUGAAAAAAUGGAUUAAUGAUAAUUGUGGUCAACUACACGGAGAUGUGGCACAUGAAGACUUUGAGGGUCACAAAGGGACCAUUGGAGCUGGUAAUUUGCAGUGGAUGACUGCUGGAAGAGGAAUUGUAUAUUCUGAAAUGCCUGCUUCGUCGUCGUCGAAUGCCGAUCACUCCGGCUCCGUCGUCUUUUGGUCUCCAGUGUUCGAAAUAUGGCGUUAAAUCGUCGUCGGAGGCAGUUUUGAGUAUAGUUUGACUGUUAAAUUUUAGUUGUUAAUGGUUAUUUGUUAGUUGUUAAUAUUAUUGUCAUGUGUUUGAUUGAAACUUAUAGAUUGUUUGUGAUUAGGUUUAGAUAUGUAGAUCGACCGAUCAAGGAAUUAAUGAUUUACAUCUCUACAGAUCACACGUCAAAUAAUGUUUCGUACCGACCAAGAGAAGGUGAUCGAAUUUGUACCUCCAGCGGCAUCGGAUUGUCAAAAGAAACAAAUUGGUGAACAAAAAUAUCUUUCUGAUUACAUCUGGGAUGGCACUCAUGACAUGUUAUUUUUCUUAUAAUGUAUUUACAUUCUACGCCAUCACAUGUAUUAUAUAAUCAUCUAAUAUUCUCAGGUUCACUCAGCAUUUUUAGGUGCAUAUAAUUCAGUUAGGAGGAGAAUUAUCUUUCUCAUGAAAACAACUAUUGGCCAUCUAUUUUCGCUUCAUGACCCAAUUUGGCCCUUCAACAUAGUUGAGAAAAAAGCUCCUACGUGUCUACCCGACGAGAGUUGAUGGGUGAUAAGGCAACGCAGUGUGUGUUUGCUUGGUGCAAAUUUCACUGCGGGUUUUGUUGCCGGCUGUCACCACAUGUCUACUAGAUGUCUCAAAAACUCAAACACAAGUAGUGGUAUUUAAUAGAUGUUUAUAUUGACAUUUUUUCUGUCGCAAAAACUCGAAAACGAGUAGCCGUAUAGCUCAUGUAUCUAACCAAAUAGAUGUAACUCAAUGACAAGAAGCUUAAUAUUUAUAUAAAUCUAGCCCCCCGCCGCAUCGCGGCGGGUUACUUUUCUA